GAUUCCCUCAGUAAUGGCGAAUGAACAGGGAUGAGCUCAGCAUCGAAAUUCGGGCUUCUGGCCUUGACUUGUAGUUUCGAGUAGCUCCACCAACGGAGGCGCAGAUGUAAGCCUCUUGGAAAAGAGCAUCAACGAGGGCGAGAGUCCCGUUCGUCAUUUGCAGUCCCCCGUGUACGGUGUGCCUACUAAGAGUCACGUUCCUCGGGAUUGGAGCGCAAAGCGGGUGGUAAAUUUCAUCCAAAGCUAAAUAUAGGUUCGAGACCGAUAGCAAACAAGUACCAUGAGGGAAAGAUGAAAAGGACUUUGGAAAGAGAGUUAAAAGUGCCUGAAAUUGCUGAAAGGGAAGCGAAUGGAACCAGUGUAUCUUGGUGAGAUUGUUGCGUGCUAAAGUGAGUGUGUGCCGCAUCAACGCAAGUGGUGUGGUGUGCUCUGAUCUGGAUGUGCGUGGUGCUUCUUGCCUUGCGUGUCAACGUCAGUUUGGAGUUGAGGAAAACUCAAGGGACAUGGUAGCUCGCUCACGGGUGAGUGAAAGUGCCUUGUAGAACUCAUCUCUGGACUGAAUAUUGUGUGUCUUGGAGCAUUGCCUCAGGGCUCGCCUCCCCUCGCCCUGUGUGUUGGGUUGGUGUGAUCUGUGUUGCAACCCUUGACAUGAAUAUGGUGACAAAAUGGUUUCACUCGACCCGUCUUGAAACAC
rnacentral:rRNA from 1 species